rnacentral:sRNA from 1 species
CAAUGCAAAGAAGGCAUUAGAAGAACAAU